rnacentral:rRNA from 1 species
GACGAACGCUGGCGGCGUGCUUAACACAUGCAAGUCGAACGGUGAUGCUCCAGCUUGCUGGAGUGGAUCAGUGGCGAACGGGUGAGUAACACGUGAGCAACCUGCCCCAGACUCUGGAAUAAGCGCUGGAAACGGCGUCUAAUACUGGAUACGAAACUGGCCCGCAUGGGCAUGGUUUGGAAAGUUUUUCGGUUUGGGAUGGGCUCGCGGCCUAUCAGCUUGUUGGUGAGGUAAUGGCUCACCAAGGCGACGACGGGUAGCCGGCCUGAGAGGGCGACCGGCCACACUGGGACUGAGACACGGCCCAGACUCCUACGGGAGGCAGCAGUGGGGAAUAUUGCACAAUGGGCGAAAGCCUGAUGCAGCGACGCCGCGUGAGGGAUGACGGCCUUCGGGUUGUAAACCUCUUUCAGCAGGGAAGAAGCGAAAGGGACGGGACCUGCAGAAGAAGCACCGGCGAACUACGU